UAGGGAAUCUUCCACAAUGGACGAAAGUCUGAUGGAGCAACGCCGCGUGAGUGAAGAAGGUUUUCGGAUCGUAAAGCUCUGUUGUUGGUGAAGAAGGAUAGAGGCAGUAACUGGUCUUUAUUUGACGGUAAUCAACCAGAAAGUCACGGCUAACUACGUGCCAGCAGCCGCGGUAAUACGUAGGUGGCAAGCGUUGUCCGGAUUUAUUGGGCGUAAAGCGAGCGCAGGCGGAAUGAUAAGUCUGAUGUGAAAGCCCACGGCUCAACCGUGGAACUGCAUCGGAAACUGUCAUUCUUGAGUGCAGAAGAGGAGAGUGGAACUCCAUGUGUAGCGGUGGAAUGCGUAGAUAUAUGGAAGAACACCAGUGGCGAAGGCGGCUCUCUGGUCUGCAACUGACGCUGAGGCUCGAAAGCAUGGGUAGCGAACAGGAUUAGAUACCCUGGUAGUCCAUGCCGUAAACGAUGAGCGCUAGGUG
rnacentral:rRNA from 1 species